UACGUAGGGUGCAAGCGUUGUCCGGAAUUAUUGGGCGUAAAGAGCUCGUAGGCGGUGUGUCGCGUCGGCCGUGAAAACCUGCAGCUUAACUGUGGGCGUGCGGUCGAUACGGGCAUCACUGGAGUUCGGCAGGGGAGACUGGAAUUCCUGGUGUAGCGGUGAAAUGCGCAGAUAUCAGGAGGAACACCGGUGGCGAAGGCAGCUCGCUGGGACGGUACUGACGCUGAGGAGCGAAAGCGUGGGGAGCGAACAGG
rnacentral:rRNA from 1 species